ACUUGAUUGCUACUUGCUGAAACCUGUUUCUCGAUAGAAUAAAUUUGAUCAAAAAUAUUAGAAUUAUCAAUAUUUGAUAUUAUAAAUACUUGUAUAAACUUUCUAAAGCUUUCAUUGCCUCGCGGUAUCCGGUCCCGCUCGUCCCCUUCCUUCAGUAUGAUACCAUUGUGUAAAGAAUAGGAUAGUAGGUUAACUUUAUGAGGAUAUCAUUUGACGAGGAGGACGUCACCAAUAGAUCGCAGUGGAGAGUUGGCGUUCACAGCACAUCUUUUCUUAUUGUACGUCGUAGCUUGAAUUACGUGUUUUCUUAGCUUUGGUUGCCGAAUUACCACAAUAACAGAUGGCGCCAAAAUUAUUUAAUUUUGGCGCCAUUUAAUUAUUCUUUAUACAAUGAUGAUACUGAUGUUACAUAUACAAAAUACAUAUUUAGUAAAUAAUCCUAAUAGUUUUCAAUAAUAAUUCUAACGUAACAAGUAUUAUUUUGAUUAAUUGUAAACAAUAAUGGCUAAAAUAAACGGACAUAGUAAAUACUCUUUUUGUAUAUCGUUUCAUAGAAACGAUGCUUGUAGAACGCCUUUUGUCUUUGUAACUGUAACACUUAUCAUUUGAGUUCACAUGGAACAAAGGAAUGUGAAUAUUAUUGUUAUUUAUGGAGAUUCAGUUAUUCAUGGUGAAGAAACAUAUUUUACUCAAUGGGAACAAUUAUCAUCGUUUAAUGAAAUCGAUACGAUAGCUACAAUUCAAAUAUAAUUUAAUUUGAAUUAUAAUCGAAUUCUUUAUAUUCAAUAUCAAGAAGUUGUCUUUAAUUUCCAUGGGCUAUAUACAUAAUAUUUUUUUCAAUUUUUGCAACUAAGUUCAAAUUUAGAUGCCACCAGUUUGACGUACAAAUUAGAAAAUGGGAAUUUUUCUUUGUUCGUAUAAUAAAAAGAAUUGAAAAAUGCGAUAAGGGCAAACCAGAAAUUGGAAGAAAUCAACGGAGACCCAAGAAAAGAAAUUGUGAUGAUAAAUACCGAGAAAAGGGGAUUACAAUCUACAUGCUAUUAAAGAGCAGGUAACUCAUUUCAAAAAUAAAUCUAAGGAAGGUGAUGUGUUGUCAAGUGAAAUUCUCAAAUUGAGGAAUAAGAUAACAGACUUUGAAAAUAUACAGGUGAUUAUAAACGGAUGUAGAGAUCAAGUAAAUUAUAUUUUGAGGGAAGAACACAAUAUUGAGUCUUUGGCCUUGUUAACUGAAAGAAAAGCCAAACAUCUAGAUUACAGCUUGUUGAGUGUCAGAAUGCGGACUUGAGUAUUCAAUCAUUAAAUUGAAUAAAAAUAUUACGGCCGAUAAGCAGAAAGUGCUACUUCUGAGAAAGCUCACAACGGUUCGGGGGUAUGGCACAGAGGAUAUCCAGACUCCCAAGGGAAAAACAAAA